AAGUAGUAAUUUAUAAUAAAACUUAUUUAUUUUGGCGGCAUUUCAUCUUAUUAGAGGAACUUGUUUAAUAAUAGAUACUACACUGUCAUUUUCACUUUAAUAUAAAAUUUAUAUACCGCCAUCAAAAGAAUCUAUUUAAAAAUUCAUUCUAAAUAAAAUAUAAAAAGUUAGGUCAAGGUGUAAUCUAAGUUAAAGAAUAAAUGAGUUACUUUAAAUUAUAUUUAUUAAAAAAUUAAAAAAUUACUUUUUAUUUAGGAUUUAAAAGUAAUAUAAAAAUAAUAUUUUCAUAUGAAUUAGAUAAUAAAUGUGU
rnacentral:rRNA from 1 species